GACGAACGCUGGCGGCGUGCUUAACACAUGCAAGUCGAACGGAAAGGCCCUGCUUUUGUGGGGUGCUCGAGUGGCGAACGGGUGAGUAACACGUGAGUAACCUGCCCUUGACUUUGGGAUAACUUCAGGAAACUGGGGCUAAUACCGGAUAGGAGCUCCUGCUGCGUGGUGGGGGUUGGAAAGUUUCGGCGGUUGGGGAUGGACUGGCGGCUUAUCAGCUUGUUGGUGGGGUAGUGGCUUACCAAGGCUUUGACGGGUAGGCGGCCUGAGAGGGUGACCGGCCACAUUGGGACUGAGAUACGGCCCAGACUCCUACGGGAGGCAGCAGUGGGGAAUAUUGCACAAUGGGCGGAAGCCUGAUGCAGCAACGCCGCGUGCGGGAUGACGGCCUUCGGGUUGUAAACCGCUUUCGCCUGUGACGAAGCGUGAGUGACGGUAAUGGGUAAAGAAGCACCGGCUAACUACGUG
rnacentral:rRNA from 1 species